ACAAAUGAUUUUCAGUUCUGGUAAAGAUCUCAAUCUCAGAAUUCUUAACUUUGGGAGUAUGAAUUCUGUGAUCGGAUUGGAGCUGCUGCUGCUGAUUUCUUCAUCUGUUGUUCCUAUUAUCUCCUCCAUUUUCUCACAUUCUCCAACUUCAAGAUGUUCCAAGUUUUUGAGGUUUAGCAGCAAGACAAGAGGGAGCAGCUUCUUCACUCUUACACUCACAGAAAUAAAACUCUUUAAGACCAGAAAAUAUACCAUUGGAAGAUGGCAAUGGAAGUGGAGCAGAGCAGAACCUAGAGGAUAAAACCAAGCUCUCCGCUAUAAAAAAGAUCACCAAAUAGUUAAAAGCCAUGAAAAGAUGAAGAGCCAUCCAAUUCCACAUUAAAUAAAUAAUAAAUAAACAGAGGAAUCAGUGUGAAAAACUAGUUUGAAGAUUAAGAGAGGGAGGGAGAGAGAGUAAUUAAACACGAUGGUUACCUGUAAUUAAAUGGUUGAAAACGUACAAAGGGUAGAAGGACAUCCUUUGCGUUAGGAUGCUCCCACUCCACUACUGUCUCCCACCAUUCUUCUGGAUAUGCCUUGAUUUCUUUAAGAGAAGAGGGAGGAGAUGGCUGGCCAUUUUCAAGCAACGGAAGACAAAUUGGAAUCCUCCUCAGCUUCUCACACGUGUCUACUUCAAUUUCUUCAAGAGAAUAGCAAAUCAGUUUUGCACCACAAAUGCUUUUCAGUUCUGGUAAAGAUCUCAAUCUCAGAAUUCUUAACUUUGGGAGUAUUAAUUCUGUGAUCGGAUUGGAGCUGCUGCUGCCGCUGAUUUCUUCAUCUGUUGUUCCUAUUAUCUCCUCCAUUUUCUCACAUUCUCCAACUUCAAGACGUUCCAAGUUGUUGAGGUUUAGCAGCAAGACAAGAGGGAGCAGCUUCUUCAUACUCUUACACUCAUAGAAAUAAAACUCUUUAAGACCAGAAAAUAUACCAUUGGAAGAUGGCAAUGGAAGUGGAGCAGAGCAGAACCUUGAAGAUAAAACCAUGUUACUGCAGUUCCAAAUGUAGAGGAUCUCUAGUUUCU
rnacentral:lncRNA from 1 species